rnacentral:rRNA from 1 species
GUAGGGAACGUGAAAGGACCGGACCUUCGGGAGCCUAUACAGGUGUUGCAUGGCUGUCGUCAGCUCGUGUCGUGAGAUGUUCGGUUAAGUCCGCUAACGAGCGCAACCCUCGUCGUAUAUUAUAUGUGUCAUACGAGACUGCCGGUAAAAAGCCGGAGGAAGGUGAGGAUGAUGUCAAGUCAGCAUGACCUUUAUAUCCAGGGCUACACACACGCUACAAUGGUCUGUACAAUGGGUAGCCAAGCCGCGAGGCGGAGCCAAUCCUGAAAGCAGGCCUCAGUUCAGAUUGCAGUCUGCAACUCGACUGCAUGAAGCCGGAGUUGCUAGUAACCGCAGGUCAGCAAUACUGCGGUGAAUACGUUCCCGGGUCUU